ACUAAACUGUGCUGCUUCAACCCCUGGACCACUGUUCAGCUGUACUGCACUUUUAUGCUUUCUCCGUGUACACUGAGGACGUAGGAUGUAAGGAUUUCAUUUGGGCAGCCCUGAAAAUGUGUCAGCUGACUCCAUCCAACUCCCAGGGCCUGCCAAAUACCCAAGCCCAGUGGACAGAAGGACCUAGGAGAGACUGGAGAGAUGUCAUAUCUGGUGAUGAAGCUUGACUCCUAUGUCUCUGACAACACAAAGAAGGGGACUGGGUAGGGAGAUUGUACGUGCUAGAAGAUUGGCAGAAGUGAAGACCCAACAUGAUCUGGACAGAAUACGACCAAUGCACCCAUGAACUCACAGUAUCUACACCUUCUACAUGAGAUCAAGCCAAUAAGAUCAGCCAACAUUCCAGCAGACAGAAGUAACUAGACCCAGUUGUGAGCCUACCCUUUAACAGCUGAGCCACAUCUCCAGACCUGAACUCAGUUUCAUCAGCCUUGGAGGCAAGCACCUUUAUCUGCUGAGCCAUCCUACUGUACCCUCAUGAACUUUUUUCUCAAAACAAGGUCAGAGCCUUGGAGAUUGGCAGUACACCAGUGGUUUACUCUGUACAAUGAUGAAUAGUGUAACCUGUCUCAUGAGGUCAUUAUGAAGAUAACCUGGAUGCCUAUCCAUGUUUAAAUGUUUGUCAUCACGUCUCGGGCACAUACCACUCACUGUGUCCUGACUGUCAACAAGAGAGCUCUAAAGCUUACCAAAGACUGGAUAAGGACCAAAG